rnacentral:lncRNA from 1 species
GUAUGGAGUCAAUAGUACGUCGUUUUGAGUUAAGUAUCUGAAAGAGAUCCUGGCCUUUCAUCUGCCUUCAUGUAACGGCCAUGAGGGCUUUCUCCUUUUUUGAAUAAAAUUGUCCAAACGCCCAGUUAGAACUUAGUCCAAACAGACUCCCCCUUUCGUCGUCUCUCCCAUCUCUCUCUUGCACAACUGUAUGCUGCCCUCACAUCUCUUCACCAUUUCCGGCGACGGCGGAGCUCAAACCGUCCCCAAAAUUCAACCAGGCUAUCAUCACCCCAUCAUGAGUCCUAAUCCACCAUUAUUUCCCCCAAAAUCCUAGCCAAAUCGGAAUCUGUCAAGCCUUCAAGUUCCCAUGAAUGAUAAGGCUUGAAAGGAGUAUUGCUCGUUUCUCCUCAAAAGAGAAUAUACGGUUAAUACCACUUUGGAGUCAAAUCUAAGUCGCUUAAAAUUUAUCAAGCCCUGUUCGUGUGUCCUUAUAGGUAUUUCUUUCAUCGUCUUCCUCCUCUGUUUCGUUCUUGAACUCAUUUUCUUCUACUUCUUCUCUCUUUUAUAUAUUUUAGGCUAGUUUGUGUGUAUGUCUGUGAUUCUGAAUUUUUCUCUUCUUUAAUUUGGGAUUUAUUUUGGCGUUCAAUAUAAGCGAUGCAAUUACUUUUUCUAAAAUAAAUAUUUCCGAGUUUCUCUGGUAAAAUCUCUUUUGUUAAAGUUCAAACUCUGUUUGGUUUGAAGUUCUAAUUACUUUCAAAAUGAAAUUCAUGUUUGGGUUGUAGUUUGUAGGCCCAUGAAUGGGGUGAAGUUUUGUGUCAAGAAUUAGAGUUCUAGCUUAGAUUAGAAUUAGAAGUUCACUAUUUGGGCUAUAGUCUUCGGGCCCAUUGCAAUUGCAUAUACACAUUUGGUUUCUCUGGUUAACUGGCAAUGGUUCAAGGGGUAUUUUGGAUAGUGUGGCCUAGGGAUUGAGGAAGCUUCUAGGAAGCUGGAGAAGGGGGUUGCUUUGAAAUUCUGAUAAUUGAACUAAGUGUAUUUGAGUAGAAACAGAAAUUGACUAAAGUUUUUUAAGCAAAAAUAAAAAUUCCAAAAGGUUUAGGGUGCAAAACUUGGCUCACUUUUGCAGCCAUAAAACCUUGCCUAUAAAGUCACAUUAACCUGGUUUUCAAGGUAAAGAAAAAAGAUUAGAGACAAAAAUUGAGAAAAAGAAAAAAAGGCUGAAAAUUUUCAUAAAAUCAUUGUUUCAUUGAAUUUCUUCUGUAAUUCUUGAGGUUUUCAUUUUUUUGAAGCAGUUUCUAAUUCAUCCGAGGUUGAAAUGGAUUGAACUUUAGUUUUUUUUUGUUGAAAAUCUGGGUUUGGAUUUUGCUUUGAAAACACUGUUACAUUGGCUGAUUUUCUAGGAUUGAAAAGGGUCUAAUAUUUGUUGGUUUUUGGAUUUUAAACAUUGAUUGAAAGUGCUAUUUUGCUGUUAACUACUGGUGUUAAAUUGUUGUUGAUCCCUCACUCUUCUUAUUCUCUUUGCUUUUCCAGGUAUAUUUUAGAACCACAAACGACAUGUAAAGAUGUGAAUCGGCAUUUCGAAUAUGAAAUACUUUGGAUACAAAUUGCAAAUCAGGAUACAAAUUGCAAAUCAAGUUUAUUUCUUAUGUUUCUUCUACUUUUGUGUUGUGAUGCAUGUAAACCUUAUAUUAUGCAUGCUAGUCUCAUUUGUUUGAUUCUGAAAGGGCAUGAGCAUGAGGCUUGGAUUCAAACGAGCUGAAGUCUUUGAACAUAUGCGUGUCAUGGAAGUCUUGUAAUAGAAGCUAAAGUUUAAGUAUGUGAUUCAUACUAGAUUGGUUCAAGCGUUAAUAGUUAGCUGUUGUUUAUUGUGACUGUUGGGGUUUGUUACUGUUGAGCAUUGUAGGUGUAAAAUCAUGAGUAGCUACUGUUGAAGCAUAUUGAUCGAUUGUUGAAUGUAUUAGCAGUUUGCUUCCUUCUAUACUUUAUAGAUUGUGCAAAUGACAGUGUUGUUUCUUUUCUUUUGCAUAAGUGAUUUUUAAAAUCAUGUUUCAGAUUAGUUACUUAACUAGUAUAAUCUUGGUUGCUCUGAUUAUGCAUUCCUGUAAGGUCCUGUUGGUGUGAGGUCUUGGAUGCUUUUAAUUUAGAGUUCCAAAGUUAGUAGUGCAUUUUUCGUUUAAAUCAUCGUUUAAAUUUCCCCUCCCCUGUUCAGGUGAUGCUUCUUUCUCCAUAAAGGAAUUUCAAAUAAGAAGUUGAGUCUGAUUUGGGUUCUAGGAAU